UGACUUUGUAUUGUUUUCUUCUUUUCCAGAUGCAGAAAUGAUUUCUGGAGUGCGGGAUGGUGAACGAAAUCCAUUGUAAAUCCGUAAAGAAUUUUCAUAAAGACAAUCUAUCUAUUCUAUGUUGGAAACUAAUGGGGUAAAAUCGUUUCUGGUAGAUAUCGUCUUAGGAAGUGGCCACAUGAGAUGAAGACUUUUAAGUGCCAUAGUUAUGCACUAGAGUAUCUUCUAAUUUCCUACAAGGACUCAGAGGAACUGGAAGGUCUCCAGCACAGGCCUUGAUUUAAGACACACUGUACAAUGAGGGGACACUGUCCCUGUCAAGUACAGUGGAAACCAGAGUUUUGAGACUAGACUCUGCCAAUUUCCUCCUAGGUUCUUGCCUCACAGAUUUGAAGAAUAAAAUCCACAGACAAUGGUGGGAGGGAAGAUGGACAGAGCACUCCCAGGAUGCAGGAGCCGUGCAGCAGGAAGGCCCACUCUGCUGUGCCAGCCUAGGGGCUGACAGGGCCUUGGGUAUGAGCAGGCUUGACGUUUUCGCUGAACAGGCAGCAGGGAAGUUCCGAGGCUGCUGGCUGUGUCUUCAGCCUGGGUCCUGAUCCCUCCUGUGAAGCCCAUCUGGCUUCACCCCCACCUUCUGUUCUGACUCUCGGGGAAGAAGGAGCUGGAUGCUCCUAUGGGUGAUCCUCAUGGUCUUUUCCAUUUGAAAAAGACUUUGCUGUUGCCUAUUGAUACUUCUUUUGCCUCCUGGCUGGUCUCUGCCUUUGAACAAGGCCUUCCCUGGGGCCCGCUGCCUGACCACUGUGUGCUCUGAUUCACAUCUGCAUCACUGAUGGGGAACACCUCCUGAAUGACGUGUCUUAGUGUUUCAUCGCUGUACGAACAUCCUACAUCGGACGGACAUCUACAAAACCUGUGAUGAGGCCUGCUGCAGACCUAGGUGACACAGCACAGCCAUUGCCCCCGGUCGGCAAAGCUGAAUAGCAGGUGCUCAGUGCUGCAGGCAGCUGUAACACAGUGGUGAGUCCACGUGUGUCCAACCUUGUCUAAACCAGGAGGUCCAGCAAGAACACUAGGCAACAGGAAUCUCCCAUCCUCCUUACAAGCUUAGGUGCCACUCACACGUGUGUGGUCCCUUGCCAACCAGAAAGCUGCUGUCCAGGGCAUGACUGUAUUGUCUGAUCACGCCACCCCAGGUAAUAUAUUGCAUUAUGUCCUGGUGGUGGUUAGGCAUGUUGACAGAAAAAGCCAGAGUAAAAACUUAUCAGUACCUUGCAUUGUGUUGAUUUUGAACUCCAAAAGUUCCUAGCUACUGAAGAUCAUUGAUACAAGGGAACCGAAGUAAAUCCUCUCAAAUUAGGGAGCGACAUUCCUUUCUUAUCGAAUCUAAAACAAACAUGCAAAUCAACAGGAAAAAACCCUGGCUCGUCUUAUGGUAAUUAAAAUCUACUUUCAAUAAAUUAAAAGGAAAACAUACUUAGGAGAUAUUUGUGAUACAUACUUACCCCAAAAGGGAGUAUCAGGAAUAUGAAAAGAACCUUGCAAAUCAAUAAGAAAAAAAGAUAGGAAGACGUAAGUAAAGAAAAAGGGAGAAUGGUCCAAAGACCAAUGAACUGGUAUUUCUCAGAAGAAGAAGCGUAAAAAGCCAGUCAGUUUAUGAAUUCUUGCUCGGGAUCAUUCGGGUUUGGGAAAGUCAGACAAGACCUCCGUGAGCUUGCCUUUCGCAUCUAUUUAGCUGGAGAAAACCUACCUCAGGUGUAACCAAAUUUAGUCUACAACUGUAACCCUG
rnacentral:lncRNA from 1 species